UUGUUUUUUUUUGUUUGUUUGAAAGUAAUAAAAAAUAUAAAAGAGUAUAUCUUCGGUAGGUACUAGCCCGCAAAAGCCGACUUUAGGCCUACCGAAGCAACUUGACUUUUAAGCAAGGGUGAAGAGUGUUUCGGUUUACCCAAAACUUACUCGGUAAUGAUCCUUCCGCAGGUUCACUGUAAAACGUUAGCAUUGCUCAGUAAAGGUUGUGUUUUACACAAGGUUGGGAGGAAAACUCACCCUACGGAAA
rnacentral:misc_RNA from 1 species